AGUGAACGCUGGCGGUAGGCCUAAUACAUGCAAGUCGAACGGAAGCACAGUAAGAGCUUGCUCUUACGGGUGGCGACGGGCGGACGGGUAAGGCAUACAUCGGCAUCUUCUUUUUCGUGGGGGAUAACGUAGGGACACUUACGAUAAUACCGCAUACGUCCUACCGGUGAAAGCAGGGGAUCUUCGGACCUUGCGCGAUUGUAUUAGCCGAUGUCGGAUUAGCUAGUUGGCGGGGUAAGGGCCCACCAAGGCAACGAUACGUAGCUGGUCUGAGAGGAUGAUCAGCCACACUGGAACUGAGACACGGUCCAGACUCCUACGGGAGGCAGCAGUGGGGAAUAUUGGACAAUGGGCGCAAGCCUGAUCCAGCCAUACCGCGUGGGUGAGGAAGGCCUUCGGGUUGUAAAGCCCUUUUGUUAGGAAAGAAAAGCAGCAGGUUAAUACCCCGCUGUUCUGACGGUACCUAAAGAAUAAGCACCGGCUAACUUCGUG
rnacentral:rRNA from 1 species